UGUCUUUGUAGCUCCAAGCAACAUCUCUGCAGUAAGCAAUGGAAGACGGAACAGAUAAGAAGGCUGCACCCACACUGCCUCCCACCCCUAGAAGAACAGCUACAACUUACAUGCUAAUCUGGCCAGCUUGUGUGGGCCAGGAAACCCAGAGCCAUUCAGAACUACAGCAGACCAUGAAGAACUCUGGCUCACAAGUCUGCCUUCCUUUACACCUUCCCUGGGAAGCCGGCCUGGCAGAUGGGAAUCCAUUCCUGAAAGUAGUCGUUUUCUCAUGUCUCUUGACUUUUGGACUUGGGAAGUUGGAGCAACCAGAAAUAUCAAUUUCCAGAACAACAGAUAAGAGUGUCCAAAUAUCCUGCAAGGCUUCCAUCAACAGCUUUAAAAGUGUAGCCAUACACUGGUACCGGCAGAAACCAAAUCAAGGUUUAGAGUUUCUAUUAUACGUCAUCGCAACUCCUACCCAUAUUCUCUUAGAUGAGAAGCACAAGAAAAUGGAGGCAAGUAAAAAUUCUAGUGCUUCCACAUCAACAUUGACAAUAUAUUCCUUGGAGGAAGAUGACGAAGCUAUCUACUACUGUUCCUAUGGCUAAAGCACGGCAUUUGACAAGGUAUUUGCAGAAGGAACUAAGCUCAUAGUAAUCCCUUCUGACAAAAAACUUGAUGCAGACAUUUCCCCAAAGCCUACCAUUUUUCUUCCUUCUGUUGCUGAAACAAAUCUCCAUAAAGCUGGGACAUACCUUUGUCUCCUUGAGAAAUUCUUCCCUGAUGUUAUAAGGGUAUACUGGAAAGAAAAGGAUGGUAAUAAGAUCCUGGAAUCCCAGGAAGGGAAUACAGUGAAGACUAAUGACACAUACAUGAAAUUUAGCUGGCUGACCGUAACUGAAAAGUCAAUGUAUAAAGAGCACAGAUGUAUUGUCAAACAUGAGAACAACAAAAAAGGAGUUGAUCAAGAGAUUUCCUUUCCUCCAAUAAAGAAAGUUCCCAUAAGUACUGAGCCUACAACUUGCCGGCAUGAAAGUGGUGUGCCUGUGCUGCAGCUUCAGUUAACCAGCACCUCCGCCUACUACACCUACCUCCUCCUGCUCCUCAAGAGUGUGAUCUACUUGGCCAUGGUCAGCUUCUUUCUGUUUAGAAGAGCAGCCCUCUGUGGCAAUAAGAAGAGGUCCUAAGGAAGUGAAUGGCGGUCCAAGUCAGCUGCUUUUCAUCCUUUGCUGUCAAAGGUGCCUUAUGGGGGUCCAGCUGGAUUUCCUUGCUAACUUUGACCUCUGUAAAGUCACAUGUAUAUCAUUCUGUCAUUGCAUGAAAGUUUUCAAACUUUUAUAAGCAAUUUGAGCAGCUUAACUCUAACUGCGCACACCUCCCUUCUGAUUCCAUCCUCUUCAACAGUCCCCUCCCCCAAGAGCCUGAAGCAUCACAGCUCUAAUACACAUAGUUUGCAGCUUCUACCCAUGGUCCUUGUCGCCUUUGAACCAGCUAACUUCUUGAAAGCCUCCACUCUAGACAACGGAAAAAGCCUUCUUUACUAUUUGAA